GGAAGGUUUGUAUAGACAUUAUAUUGUCUGGUGUGGGUUACAGGUUAAGGGAAGGUUUGUAUAGACAUUAUAUUGUCUGGUGUGGGUUACAGGUUAAGGGAAGGUUUGUAUAGACAUUAUAUUGUCUGGUGUGGGUUACAGGUUAAGGGAAGGUUUGUAUAGACAUUAUAUUGUCUGGUGUGGGUUGGUUACAGGUUAAGGGAAGGUUUGUAUAGACAUUAUAUUGUCUGGUGUGGGUUGGUUACAGGUUAAGGGAAGGUUUGUAUAGACAUUAUAUUGUCUGGUGUGGGUUGGUUACAGGUUAAGGGAAGGUUUGUAUAGACAUUAUAUUGUCUGGUGUGGGUUGGUUACAGGUUAAGGGAAGGUUUGUACAGACAUUAUAUUGUCUGGUGUGGGUUGAUUACAGGUUAAGGGAAGGUUUGUACAGACAUUAUAUUGUCUGGUGUGGGUUACAGGUUAAGGGAAGGUUUGUAUAGACAUUAUAUUGUCUGGUGUGGGUUGGUUACAGGUUAAGGGAAGGUUUGUAUAGACAUUAUAUUGUCUGGUGUGGGUUGGUUACAGGUUAAGGGAAGGUUUGUAUAGACAUUAUAUUGUCUGGUGUGGGUUGGUUACAGGUUAAGGGAAGGUUUGUAUAGACAUUAUAUUGUCUGGUGUAGGUUACAGGUUAAGGGAAG